GAACCCUGGGCUGCCAAAGUGAAGCACGUGAACUUGACUACUCAGCCAUGGGGCCGGCCCCACACUCUUCUGCUCUUAUACUUUGCCCCAAUGCCCCAAAUCUUGCCCGCUUUCUCAGAUCCACCACCAACAUCACCACCAUCCUCUUUGCACCUGUUAUUCCAUUUGUCUGGAAUGCUGUUCACCACGCCCUGUUAUUCACUCCCCCACCCCUGAUCAUGUCUGUCCAGAGGAUACCACUUGUCUUUCAAGAUUCAAUGCCAAAUUUCUCUCCUGUACUCUAGGAAGCCUUUUCUAGCAUACUAGAACAAGCAGUUCCUCCAUCUACAGUGUUCACAGACCCCUUUGUACAUAAAUCAACCCUUAACUUGUUAUUUAUCGUGCUUUAUUUAUAUGGCUCUCACAGUAGCUCAACUCCAAGUUCCUUGUAGCCAGCAUAAGUCCUGUAAUAAAGGAGGCAUGCAAUAAAUCUUCGUUAAAUGAAAAUAUGAGAAAGAAGCUUGUUAAUAAUUAUGCAGGGAUUCAGAGUGAGCCCUCAAGUGCUCAUGUUUCAAAUGCCCCAAGCCUGAUGGCAGAGACUACAUAUUGGAGAGAGGGCCAUCCCAGGAGCGUGGAGAGUGGCUCCUAGGCACAUCUGUUCAUUCAACAAAUAUUUAUUGAGCACUUACUACGUGGCAGGUAUAAUGAUAGGCAUUGAUAUGCUGGGUGUUCAUUAAAAAAGAGACAACAGGGCCACAAUGACAAUGAUAAAGAAAAGCGUGACAUAGGCAUAGCAUGACAAACCCUAAUGACCAGCCAAAGUUAGCCCAUAUCAUUGGGUGGGAGUGAGGGGCAGGACAGCCCAGCGGAGACCACUGGACACCAGAGCGUAAAGAGACAUUGGUGGCUAGGAGCAUGUGGAGGCCAAUCAGGAACUUUAUAGGAAACAACCCAUACCCUGCCACUUCCUCUCUCCUUGCUUCAUAGUAUGCCCAUUCCAUAAGGCUCAGCUCAUGCCCAGUUUCUUCCCUUAAAUUUCCCCUGACUGCCUUCAGCCUGCUGUGAUCUCCUAAAAGAGCAAUUAACUGUGUUCUUUACUCAUUUAGAAUGUGCCAUAUACUAAUCUAUAUGACUAGCUUCUCAUGUGUUUCUAUCUUAUGUGACAUAUGAAAUUGAAAAUUUAUCCUUCAAUGAAUGUAAAUUGAAGCUCUGCCAGGUGCUGACGAUACCCCAGUGAGCAGGACUGACGUGCAGCCCUGGAGGUGGAGCAGGUAGCUGCACACAAGAACGCAGGGAAACUCAGCCGUUACAAACCGUGGUAAGAAUGCAGGAAACAAAGGACUGAGACAGAAACUGAAGAUUACGUUUAAACAGAGAAGUAAGAGAGGAGCAGUUCCGUGAGGGUGGGGCCAAGGCUUGCAGUUCUCUAUAACCACUCUCCCAUACCCAGGGUCUAAUUCACUGUCUUCACAAUUUUCUUCUUGAAUGUUCUCAUGUGGUCAGUUUUCAUUUAAAUUUGGUGAAAUCUCAGAUGAAGAGAUUAUUGGCAUCGUGUGUGUGUUUUCUCCUCCCAAGUGUUUUACAGGUAUUCCCAGAGACACCAACUAAUUUUUAAAAGAAGAUAUUUGGGAGACUAACGGGCAUCUCCAACUUACCCUGUUCAAAAUCAACCUCCUGAUCUUGGCCCCAGGCAGCAUCUCCAGCACCUAAAACAUGCCUGGAGCUUAGUAGGCACUCGAUGAACAUUUGUCCAUUGAACGAACAAACGGAAGAAGCCAUACCUCAUUGCCCUCAGCUUCCCUUUUUAUGUUACAUUAAAGAGCCACAAGGGGGCUGUACAUCACUCCAUAACAAACAAGGAGCCAGCAAACCCACGUGGUCCACCCUCGGAAGCCUGUCCUUACAGGAACGCCGAGAAUUGCAUAUUGAACAUUUCAAAUUUCAGACAAGAAAGUAACAGACACAGCGACAGGUGCUGGGGAUAGAAAGAUGAAAACGCAGCCCUUGACCUUAAAGAGGUCCCCCUGGAAAGGGAGGACAUCCCAGGGCAGACAUGGAAAGGAACGUCUGCAGUGACAACCCUCUCCUUCCAGUCCUCGGCACCUGACUGGUCACUGAGCUCAGGCCAAGCACUGGGCCGCAAGUUCCAGAACUGGCCUUACUCAGAUCCCAGACAUGAUGCAGAGGCCUCACUCUUCCUCUCUUCUUUUUCUGGAAACAUCUGGAAACUCCUCUGGGGAGAUCUGCCACAUGACCUCUGGUGAACUUCAGACUUUCUGUAUAUUCUUCCGAAGUUCCUCGUUUGUUGGAUAUCAUGAGAAAUGACUUUCAUGGUGCACAGAGAGAAGAUCUAAUCUGAGGUCUGGGUGACUGUUGAACACACAGCUCUUCAGGCUCCUGCCAGGCUGUCGUGUCAUCACGCUGCUGUCCUCACACUGCCCUCUGCCCUGGCAGCAGUGGAGGGCUAUCCUGGAGCAUCUGGGGAGCCAAGGCCACAGUGCCACCCGGCAUGAUGAUGUGGCCCACAGAGCCAGGAAUGGUAAAAGCCUCUCGUCCAUGCCAGACACUGUGCUACUCACUGUUUUUCACUCUUCACUGCAUACCUGUAAUCGGAGCGUUGGUUUAUUCCCAUUUCCUGGGAAAGAAAACCGAGGCUCAGAAUGGUUAAGCCUAAGAUCUCCAGCCACCAUACCGGUUCUCACCGGGAAAAGAGAAAGCACGCCCACCCUACAGAUUCUUGGAAGUCUGGCUCACUAAUCCCUGAGAAAGCCCCCCAACACCCACAGACCACGCAGAAACCGUAUCACUCCUGCAAGCACUCUGGCCAGAACUGGGGCCUGCCGAGGGGACACGUCAGGAGUCAGGGCGAGCCUGGCUCAGUGGGUGUGCUCGUCACACUGGAUGGCCGCAUACCACGGGUAGGCAUGAGUGUGCAUGUGUGCUUGCACACCCAGAGGGAGGGGUGCAGGUGGGGACGAGGGUCAUUUUUACAAAUGCAAAACCUGCAGCCUCCCCACAGAAAAAGGGAAGCCAGACAAAAACUGAACAGCUGGACCACAGCAAGCCCUGCCCCAGCGAGGAGCCAGGGCGGGACUCCCUGUGAGAGAUGAGAAGGCCUUCACCCCACCCCCAGCCUCCCCUGGGCACACAGGGCUGGGGCAGGAACGAGACUGUUCGGUGCUGCCUGUUUGCCCAGGGACCCAGGCUGAAGGCAGCCCACCACUCUGCUAUUUCCUCUCUGAGCCCCAUCCCCCAGCAGUCUGUGAUAUGAGAGCCUGGCCGUGUGCCUGGCAGGUCCUGGCCUGGGCAAGGGGCUGACAGGAAUAGGUAUCUAGGCAAGGAAGGGUGGCACAGAGAAGAGCAUCAUGGGGCCUGGGAGGCCCGGGAGUCCAGGGUGUCAGGCAAGACCCAGUGACUCCCCGACGUCACACGUCAUGGCAGACCUUGGGCUGUUUCGGUACCUGACAGAAUUUCAUCUCCAUGCUAACGGUGAGGGAAGGGUCUGCUGCACACACCACCAGAGCGAGAAGAUUAUGGAGAAGAGGGUUCUAGAAUUCUCUUAAGCAGCCCUGCCGUCUCCCAGGCCUGUGCUUCCUCAUGUGUAAAAGGACGGUCAGCAGUACUCAAAGCUGUCAAGGGCAUCAAAAUCAAGGCAAAUCUAAGAAACUGCCAGUCUUGAAGACCCCAAGGGACCAUGACAAUGAUAACUAAGUGUCAUGUGACACCCUGGAUGCUAUCCUGGAACAGAAAAAGGACAUUAGGUAAAAAUCUGAAUCAAGUAUGGACUUUAGUUAAUAAAGUAACAACACUGAUCCAUUAGUUGUGACAAAUGUAGCAUGCUGAUGUAAGAUGUUAACAACAGGGGAAACUGGUGUGAGGUGUAUGGGGACUCUGUGCUAGCUUCAUAGCUUUUCUGUAAAUUGAAAACUCAUACAAAAUAAAACAUUUGU